UACGUAGGGUGCAAGCGUUGUCCGGAAUUAUUGGGCGUAAAGAGCUCGUAGGCGGUCUGUCGCGUCUGCUGUGAAAACUCAGGGCUUAACCCUGAGCUUGCAGUGGGUACGGGCAGACUAGAGUGCGGUAGGGGAGACUGGAAUUCCUGGUGUAGCGGUGAAAUGCGCAGAGUAUCAGGAGGAACACCGGUGGCGAAGGCGGGUCUCUGGGGCCGU
rnacentral:rRNA from 1 species